rnacentral:ncRNA from 2 species
UAAAUAUUUCACUCUUAACCUCGUAUAAUCUCGAGAAUAAGGCUCGAAAGUUUCUACCAGUCAGCCGUAAACUGACUGUCUACGAGAUAGCGGUAGUUCUAU